rnacentral:rRNA from 1 species
AUGUUAAUCGGGGGGGAUUUUAAUAUCCUUCGAUAUCAAGAGGAAAAAAACAAUGAUCGGUUUGACACUAGGUGGCCUUUCCUCUUUAAUGUUGUUAUUGACAGCCUGGAUCUGAGGGAGAUCACGAUGUCUGGUCGUCAGUAUACCUGGGCCAAUAACCGAUCGGUGCCAACCUUUGAAAAACUAGACCGGGUGCUAGUUACCACUGAUUGGGAAUAUAAAUAUCCCCUAGCCUCGGUUCGGGCACUAGAAAGAAUUGAGGCCUUAUCGGAUCACGCUCCGUUGCUAACCGAUUUUGGACAACCAAUCCCAUGUUCUAACCGUGAUCAGUUUAAAUUUGAACUUGGAUGGCUCACUAGAGAGGGAUUUCAUGAGCUGGUUAAGAAGGUGUGGGCGCGCCAGCCUCGCGGUAACACACCCAUUCAACGAUGGAAUAAUCGAAUCCGCGCCUUGCGUCGAUUCCUUCGAGGAUGGGCCAAACAUACUGCUGGUAUUUACAAAAAAGAAAAAAUGCGAUUGUCUACCUUAAUUGAUACCCUUGAUAAAAUUGCGGAGGUGAGGCCUCUGUCUGCUGUUGAGAUUGAAAAAAAGUAG